rnacentral:rRNA from 1 species
UACAGAGGGUGCGAGCGUUAAUCGGAAUUACUGGGCGUAAAGGGCGCGUAGGUGGUUUGUCAAGAGGGUUGUGAAAUACCUGGGCUUAACCUGGGAAUGGCAAUCCAGACUGAGAGGCUAGAGUGCGGUAGAGGAUAGUGGAAUUUCCGGUGUAGCGGUGAAAUGCGUAGAGAUCGGAAGGAACACCAGUGGCGAAGGCGGCUAUCUGGACUGACACUGACACUGAGGCGCGAAAGCGUGGGGAGCGAACAGG